CAUGCAGGCCUACUGGAAAGAAAAGCACAGUGACAGAAAAGAGCUUCUGCCAUCAUUUGUUACCUCAAUGGAUAGUAUGCCUCUCCUCUUUACCUCUCUAAAACCAGUGAGAACUUGUUUUGGAAGCAAGCCUACGGCAAAUACCAGACUCCAGAGACCUCAGCUGAAUCCUGGAACUUGGGCAAUGGCAGAAGUUUCCACCAAGAGCUUCCUGAAAGCACAGUGAUGCUCCAUCCCUACACAGGGACAGGAAGAGGGCAGGACAAGAGAC